CAGCCACCGCGGUAAUACGUAGGGGGCGAGCGUUGUCCGGAAUUAUUGGGCGUAAAGCGCGCGCAGGCGGUCCUUUAAGUCUGAUGUGAAAGCCCACGGCUCAACCGUGGAGGGUCAUUGGAAACUGGGGGACUUGAGUGCAGGAGAGGAGAGCGGAAUUCCACGUGUAGCGGUGAAAUGCGUAGAGAUGUGGAGGAACACCAGUGGCGAAGGCGGCUCUCUGGCCUGUAACUGACGCUGAGGCGCGAAAGCGUGGGGAGCAAACAGGAUUAGAUACCCUGGUAGUCCACGCCGUAAACGAUGAGUGCUAAGUGUUAGAGGGGUCACACCCUUUAGUGCUGCAGCUAACGCGAUAAGCACUCCGCCUGGGGAGUACGGCCGCAAGGCUGAAACUUAAAGGAAUUGGCGGG
rnacentral:rRNA from 1 species